ensembl:lncRNA
AAGAGUGUACUAAUGAGACUUCUCAUUCAUUUACUUAACAAAUAUUUCCUAAGCACCGACUGCCAGGUUUAAGGUUCCAUCAGUGAACAGAUUAGAGAAGAAGCUCUGCCCUGAAGGAGCUGAUGUUCUCAUGGAGGAGAGUGAAAAUGGUUGGGGGUUUCUUUCUCGGGGUAAAAUAAAUGCAUAAAGAGAAGGAUGGUAAGGAGAUGGAGUGCUUGGGAUUUGGAGUGCCAUUUUAGAUUGAACAGAAACGUCAAGGAAGGCCUUUGGGAGGGUGUGUUUGAGCAGAGGUCAGACUGAAGCGAGGCAGCCAUGGGGAUAUCCAGCUGUGCCAGGCUUGGUCACCCCAGGGCCUUUGCACUUACUAUUCCCUCUGCCAGGGUUGUUUUCUUCUCAAGUUCCAUAUAGCUCACUCCUUCCCCUUUAGGUUUUUGCUCAGAUGUCAACUCGGGAAGUUCCUGCUGCUGGGGGUUGAAUCAGCCAUUGCAGCUGGCCUGUGCCGCAGCCACUGCAACACCAGAUCCAAGCUGCAUCCAUGAACUUCACUGCAGCUUGAGGCAACGCCAGAUCUUUAACCCACUGAACAAGGCCAGGGGGAAUCGAACCUGCAUUCUCAUGGAUACUAGUUGGGUUCCUGGCCUGCUGAGCCACAAUGGGGACUCCAAAGGCUGGUUGUCUUUAGGAUCUUAAAAAUUUUUGAAGUAUCUCAGACCUGGAAUCUGUUACUUCCCCAGUCGUUAUCCAGGGCAGGAAUUUGCCUUUUUCCACAGCUAGUGGCUGUCCAAAUUCCAUUUAAUAUUUCCUAUGGUGGGAGGUCCACUACUCUACCUACCCCUGUUACAGGGCCUAAUUUACUUCCCAGUAAGGUCCAUGAAGUCUGGCUGUAUGUUUGUUAGAACCUGUUAGGAGAAUGUGGAGGGAAGACCUUAAAUGUCAACCUUGGAAUCUUAGAGGCCUGAGGUACUGGGAAGCCAUGGAAGAAUCUAUGCUCAAGAGGAAUAUGGUCAGGUUUGUGCUUAGACCUCAUAUUAAUUAAAAAGAAAGACCUCAUUGGAGUUCCCGUCAUGGCUCAGUGGUUAACGAGUCUGACUAGGAACCAUGAGGUUGUGGGUUCGAUCCCUGGCCUCACUCAGUGAGUUAAGGAUCUGGUGUUGCUGUGAGCCGUGGUGUAGGUUGCAGAUGAGAUUUGGAUCCCUCGUUGCUGUAGCUGUGGCGUAGGCCGGCAGCUACAGCUCCGAUUCGACCCCUAGCCUGGGAAUCUCCAUACACCACAGGUGUGGCCCUAAAAACAAAAGAAAAGAAAAAAAAA